GACUGGGUGGGGAUGCUGGCGUGGCGGCUGUGCUGCCAGGACAGUAACAGGCCGGGGAAUUCAGACCUCGGCCUUUCUGAGAUGCUGGAGAGAGGCAAGCGUGGAGGUGGGGAGAGGUGGCCAAGAGGCUGCCGAGGGAGCAACUCACAUAAGCUACAAGUGGAGAGGAAGCAGGGCCUCCAACCAAUGUCCUUUUAAGGCCCUCUGGAGAAAGGAUUGUUCUGGUGAGGUCGCUGGAGAUGGCAGAGGAACAGCGAUGAGGAAAGAAGGGCUUGCAAAAGAAGUGAUCUUUACUCCAAUACCACUUUGUCUUGAUUACUGCAGCCUGAAACCAUGUAGUGUAAGUCCUCUAACUUUGUUCUUUUUAAACAUUAU